rnacentral:rRNA from 1 species
GACGAACGCUGGCGGCGUGCCUAAUACAUGCAAGUAGAACGCACAGGAUGCACCGUAGUUUACUACACCGUAUUCUGUGAGUUGCGAACGGGUGAGUAACGCGUAGGUAACCUGCCUGGUAGCGGGGGAUAACUAUUGGAAACGAUAGCUAAUACCGCAUAAGAACAUUUACUGCAUGGUAGAUGUUUAAAAGGUGCAAAAGCAUCACUACCAGAUGGACCUGCGUUGUAUUAGCUAGUUGGUGAGGUAACGGCUCACCAAGGCAACGAUACAUAGCCGACCUGAGAGGGUGAUCGGCCACACUGGGACUGAGACACGGCCCAGACUCCUACGGGAGGCAGCAGUAGGGAAUCUUCGGCAAUGGGGGGAACCCUGACCGAGCAACGCCGCGUGAGUGAAGAAGGUUUUCGGAUCGUAAAGCUCUGUUGUUAAGGAAGAACGUGUGUGAGAGUGGAAAGUUCACACAGUGACGGUACUUAACCAGAAAGGGACGGCUAACUACGUGCCAGCAGCCGCGGUAAUACGUAGGUCCCGAGCGUUGUCCGGAUUUAUUGGGCGUAAAGCGAGCGCAGGCGGUUAGGUAAGUCUGAAGUGAAAGGCAGUGGCUCAACCAUUGUAGGCUUUGGAAACUGUUUAACUUGAGUGCAGAAGGGGAGAGUGGAAUUCCAUGUGUAGCGGUGAAAUGCGUAGAUAUAUGGAGGAACACCGGUGGCGAAAGCGGCUCUCUGGUCUGUAACUGACGCUGAGGCUCGAAAGCGUGGGGAGCGAACAGG